UCUGCCUUUCACACUUCUGACUAAUAGACUCUCUCUCUCUUUCUGCAGGGAACCACAAUCUCUUCAAACUGAAAUUCUCUCUCUACAGAUAUGCCGAAAACCAAACGUUUCCAGAACCUGAAAAUUAUAAGUCAGUCCAAUCAGCGCCCCCUUCACAACCUAUUGAUGCGACACAAGAUAUGACAUCACAAUUGGGUCCUUCAUUCCCGACUACAUUGCAGCCGACUCCUUCUUUACAAGCCACAAGACAGCAAACUCUUUCAUUUCAGGCCACGGGGCGGACAACUCCUUCCAUUCAGACGACUCUUUCAUUUCAGGCGACAUCACUACCAACUCCUUCAUUUCAAGUCACAAGACAGCAAACCGCUUCAUUUCAGGCCACAACACUGUCAACUCCUUCAUUUCAAGCCACAAGACAGCAAACGUUUUCAUUUCAAGCCACGGAACAGACAACUCCUUCCACUCAGCCGACUCCUUCGUUUCAGGCGACGUCACUACCAACUCCUUCAUUCCAACCUCCUGUUAAUCCCACACCACCAUAAGCAACAUCCAAUAAAUGUGCUAAACGUGAGUCUUCACAUCAUUGGACUGUCAAUGGAAUAGGUAAUCAUUAUCCUUUCGUUAUAAUUUCUGCCGUUGAUGUAUAGGACAUUAAAGUAUAACCGAAAUGUAUUACUUUGUAGUCUUCAAUUAGCAGUAACGAGCAAAAUGUGAGGCAGGCUAAAGUUGUUACUCUUUGUUUUCCCUCUCAUCUCCUCUUCUUUCUUCCUCUGUUCUACUCAUCCCUCUCAUCCCUUUGUGUGAAUCAGAUCGUUACAUUGGUGCUUUUACUAAGGGUCGGACUGGCUUGAAACCAGCUCAUUGUUUUAUCUAUUUUAUGAAGUUCUGCAAUAUUUGUGAGUGCAUUCUUUUGGUUUUUUUGAAGGUAUUUAUUUUUGUUCGUGACAUUUACAAUGUUUUCAUUCCUUCUCUCUUACAGUGGCUUAAAAGGCGAACACUGUCCCAUGAAAUGUGCCGAAAUGAUUUUGACAAUCUUGUGAAUCUUAACCUGUUCAUUUUUUGUGAGAUCACUGUUAGGUUGAACUUUGAGGGUUUCAUGCUUUCUUAGUUUUUUUAUGUCUUGCUAUUGGCCAGUUCCAAUAGCAAGACAUAUAGAAGUUUUUGUUGAGUAUGAGAUGGCUACAAGGUGUUUGUAGUAUUUUCUUGCAAUACAUAUAGAAGUUUCUUUACAAAACAAUACAACCAACAUACAGCACAUUUCAGUAAUACAUGAGAAAAUUGUAGUAUUAUCAAUUAUGGUCUUACUAAUCCUUAAAGCUUUUAUUAAUUAAUAUCAAGAUCUCUGACUCGAAAGUUUUAUCUUCUCUGAACCAUGUAGUAAGCUAUCUGUUAAUAUCAACUAAUGCUGAGUUUCAUUGUUUUUUUAUAUUACAGAUUCACAAGGAGAUACCAAAAGGCUCACUUCCUUUAUCUUACUUUACUAUUUAAUUUUAGAUUAUGUAUCUAUUUCUUCUACUGUAGUUAAUCUAUUCUUAAUUUUUUUUCCAUACAUAGAUGGCUGAGACAGGGAGAAAGCCUGGACGAGCACAACUUUAUCUUGCUACACAUACGAACAAAGAUGGAUCAUAUGUGAAUGAGGAGGCAAAAGAAAUAUGUGUAAGUUAUAUACUGUCACCAAUGCUACUGAUUACUAUGGAGUGGUUUGUGUAUAGUUCGAUGAGCUAUUAACUAUCACCAGUGCUACUGAUUGCAACAUGCCUAAUGUGCUUGUUAUUAUUUCCUUUCUGAAGUACCUUUCUCACUAGCCACCAUGCGAUUGGAGACCUAGCACAGAACGAUAAAUAUUAUAAUGAGGUCCACAAAUAGGAUAUCUAGAAAACUUACUGCCUAUAGUGAAAGUUGAAUGAAAAUACUCUGUUACAGAGAAGUUCGGGUGGACAAUAUAGGAUUAUAUGAAUUUAACUAGAAUAUACUUGUUGAGUGUAAAUUAAAAUUUGUGGAUUGAUACAAAACUGAAGUGCCUUAUAGAAGAUCUAACCCAUUAAUAGGUUCAUAUAGUAAGUAUAUUACAACACGAUGCGUUCAAAAUUCUGGCUUAUGUGUCUCUAGAAGUUUUGGUGUGGAUUUUGUAUUUUUUUGGUUAGAUAUUGUUUGACAAUCAUUAGUUGAGGGUCCUCUUGUAAUUCUUUAACAAUCAACAAGAAAUUCAUUUGAAGGUCCUCUUGUAAUUCUCUAAUACACCACCAGCACUUACUACUGGUACUUGUGUAUUUAUCAUGGCUCAUUUGGUGAUCUAAGGAUGUGUGGAAGAUUUAAAAAAUUAAGCGCAAAUGUAUCUGAUUUCCUUACUUUGCCAGAUGCUCAAUUUAUAAUGUUGGCUCAAUUUUUUUUGAUUAUGUGCAUUGUGUUUAGGAAAAAUUUGAGCUAGCAGUGAGCGAAAAUAUAGUGGAUGAGUCUGAAAUUUCUCCAACUGAUGCUGUUGGUAAGGUGCUAGGCAAAGAGCUUUAUAUUCUAACAACUUUCAUUCCUCGAACUACCAAUUAUUUGGCUUUUUUGACUAAAUGUUUAACAACAACACUUAAAAAAACGAGGUUUAUCUACCAUUUUAUCCACUUGAUUUGUCAUAGAAUUAAAAUCUUAUUUAAUCUGUCAUUUAAUAAUCAGAAUAUAUCGGAGUACCAUGAUGGAUUAAUUAAGAAAGAUUUAAUGUAUUUUAAAGCAAGCUUUUGCUUCCCAUCAUUUAUAUUGUAUUCUUUCACAGAAUAUGCAAUUAUCUCCAAAAUAGACAUGGGAUGUGAAAGUAUUUUCUUGUGAACUUAAAAUUCAUAGUUUGUUUUUAUAAGGACGCGAAAAUAGUGGACUCAAUCCUGGAGAGAUACAAGGACAACAAAAUCCCUAUUGAAAAGUUUGAAUAUUCAAAGUGUUUAGAAUCUUAUUCUUGUGAAAUUUUCAUUCUGAUUGAUAAGUGGCACGACAUUGCAAUUCAGAAUAGUGUAAAACAUCUAUCAUAUAUAGAACUUUUAUCACAUCCCUUGCCUAUUUUCACAAUCUUGGCAUCAAAAUAUUUAUGAGAAUUGGUUCUAGAGGGUUGUGAUAUAAUGAAUGUUUCUUUAUCUGGUGGUGUGGCGAACUGUCAUUUUUUGGAUAAGCUUUCUCUAUCUUAUCUAAGUUUAGACGAAAACUUCUUCAGACUCUACUUAAUAGCAGUCCCUGUUAAUAAUAUGUAUUCAAACCAGAAAAUCAGAAGUUGUUAGUUUCAGGAACAAAAAACAGAAAAUUCCAAGCCCAUAAGUUCCUUGUGUGUCCUUAAGGAAUUUAAUUCUCUCACAGUUGCACAAGGUUUCGGAUUAAUUUCAGGAUAGAACGGAAUAACUAUUCUGUGAUAGCGGCACUUCAAAUCACAGAAGUUCGGCGAACUCAAAUGGUGGAGCAAAUCACACUAAAUGCUUACGUUUUUGCUUUGUAAAUUAAAAAUGAUGCAGAAUGCAAAUGAUAGAGGGGAGAGAUUUUCAGAUUCAGUGGUGAAGUAUGUUAAAAUAGAGUAUACCAACGAUUAGAUGUAGUUAUAGUAUGGUAUAAACCAAUGAACUCUGUUUUACUUCUUCUGAGAUGCCAGCACUUGGCAUGGAAUAUGCAAAUUUAUGGACAAAUGACAGCUUUUGUUUCA